UAAGUGGCUCUGUCUCUCAGCUGUCACGAAUACUAUGGCUGUGAACACGGACACUCGGGCAUCUCUCUGCCGUGCCGACUGAGUCUCCUUUGGUUGAGUACCCAAGGAGUGCAAGAGCAAGAUCAUACGGUUGUUCCACACCUACUAUAAUACAAAAGACAGACAGCGGGGCUUCUGAUAUGGCUCCGUAGGUAAAGAGCUUGCUGCCAAGCCUGACAAAACUGAGUUCAAUCCCCCAACCCCGCAAGGUGGAAGAAGAGAAAUUAACUCCUGCAAGUUGUCCUCUGACCUCUACACACGCACAUGCCACCCCCGGUGAAUAAAUGAAUGUAAUACACACGAGUGCACGGGAACUGAGCCCUCUGACGCUGCAGGCGAGGGCAUGGCCGCUGAUGACAACUGUCUGGGGUUCCUCAAACUGCUAAGCAUAGACUCGACCGCCCCAGAAUUUGAGGAUACGAAUCAAGGCUUGCAGAAGAAUACUCAGAGGAGUAUCAUUCAUACCAGUCAACAGUCCAAACAGUCUGAAUGAUCAUCAGCAAGGCAAACAUAUACAUGUGCUGGUAUGGUCCAACAAUGGAAUAUUAUUCAGCCAGAAAAGAGGAACCGACUAUUAACGUGCAGUACAGUAUGGAUGAACCUUGAAACCACACGGAGUGAAAGAAUCCCAUGUGGUGUAAUCCCAUGGAUAAGAAAUGUCCAAGCCAUUAAAGGGGGCCAGUGAGAUGGCUCAGUGGGUAAAAGGGGGUUGCUGCCAAAGAUCAAUAUCUGGGACCUGCGUGGCUGAAGGAAAGAACAGAAUCCCGAAAGUCAUCCCCAGCCCUCCGUGCAUAUCCUAAGGUGUGCACACGUAUACACACAUGCAUGCGCACACACAUAUAUACAUGCAUGUGUGCACUCGCACACACGCAUGCGCGUGCGCACACAGGGAGUGGUAGUCACGGGGUAAGGAGUGACUUUAGCAUAAUAAAAUGUAGUCGGGAAUUACAGUCA